CUCUAGGUAGCUCAGUGGAUAGAGAGCCAGACUGGGAAUCUGGAGGUUCUGGAUUCAAAUUUGGACUCAGACA
rnacentral:tRNA from 1 species